GAAUAUUGGACAAUGGGGGGAACCCUGAUCCAGCCAUGCCGCGUGUGUGAAGGAGGUCUUCGGAUUGUAAAGCACCUUACGUUGGGAGGAAGGGCAGUAAGCGAAUACCUUGCUGUUUCGCCGUUACCGACAGAAAAGGCACCCGCUAACUCUGUGCCAGCCGCCGCGGGAAUACAGCGGGUGCAAGCGUUAAUCGGAAUUACUGGGCGUAAAGAGCGCGUAGGUGGUUCUUUAAGUUGGAUGUGAAAUCCCCGGGCUCAACCUGGGAACUGCAUCCAAAACUGGCGAGCUAGAGUAGGGGAGAGGGUGGUGGAAUUUCCUGUGUAGCGGUGAAAUGCGUAGAUAUAGGGAGGAACACCAGUGGCGAAGGCGGCCACCUGGGCUCAUACUGACACUGAGGUGCGAAAGCGUGGGGAGCAAACAG
rnacentral:rRNA from 1 species